rfam:Streptococcus suis 05ZYH33, complete genome.
CAUCCUGUGCAACCGCACGAAUGCCGUUCUUUCGUUGAGAGUAGAGUAAGUGGUUCGUCCCACGGUACUAGGCGAGUCUUCACAUCAAA